UACAGACGGUCCAAACGUUAUUCGGAAUCACUGGGCUUAAAGAGUUCGUAGGCGGUCCAGAAAGUGGGGUGUGAAAGCCCUCGGCUUAACCGAGGAAUUGCGCUUCAAACUACUGGACUUGAGGAGGCUAGAGGUAAGCGGAACUGAUGGUGGAGCGGUGAAAUGCGUUGAUAUCAUCAGGAACACCGGAGGCGAAGGCGGCUUACUGGGGCCUAUCUGACGCUGAGGAACGAAAGCCAGGGGAGCGAACGGG
rnacentral:rRNA from 1 species